rnacentral:rRNA from 1 species
AUGAACGCUGGCGGCGUGCCUAAUACAUGCAAGUCGAGCGAACAGACGAGGAGCUUGCUCCUCUGACGUUAGCGGCGGACGGGUGAGUAACACGUGGAUAACCUACCUAUAAGACUGGGAUAACUUCGGGAAACCGGAGCUAAUACCGGAUAAUAUAUUGAACCGCAUGGUUCAAUAGUGAAAGACGGUUUUGCUGUCACUUAUAGAUGGAUCCGCGCCGCAUUAGCUAGUUGGUAAGGUAACGGCUUACCAAGGCAACGAUGCGUAGCCGACCUGAGAGGGUGAUCGGCCACACUGGAACUGAGACACGGUCCAGACUCCUACGGGAGGCAGCAGUAGGGAAUCUUCCGCAAUGGGCGAAAGCUUGACGGAGCAACGCCGCGUGAGUGAUGAAGGUCUUCGGAUCGUAAAACUCUGUUAUUAGGGAAGAACAGAUGUGUAAGUAACUAUGCACGUCUUGACGGUACCUAAUCAGAAAGCCACGGCUAACUACGUG